GAGGUAUAAGCUGAUUUAAUAAACCCCAACCAGUAAUUUACAGUUUUCUAAAGAAGCUGCAUAGUUGAGCAAACAUACAUCAAAAAAGAGGGAUAAAGAAAAAAUUCUUAACACGAAGCUUUAAAAUGUAUGACAAUUAAGCAUUAAAAUGACCAACACCAAAAAACUUCAGUUUGAAAAGGAGUUGUCUUCCCUCACUCUAAGCAUAUACAAAAACAGAAACAAGAAGGCUAAAGUCCACAGGAGAAAAAGACGUAUGUUAACUGGCUCAGGUUAUCAACUUCAUACACUGCUUGUUAAAAGAUGUUAAUA
rnacentral:lncRNA from 1 species